CCUACGGGGGGCUGCAGUGGGGAAUAUUGGACAAUGGGCGAAAGCCUGAUCCAGCCAUGCCGCGUGUGUGAAGAAGGCCUUCGGGUUGUAAAGCACUUUCAGUGGGGAAGAAAGCCUUGGGGCUAAUACCCUCGAGGAAGGACAUCACCCACAGAAGAAGCACCGGCUAACUCCGUGCCAGCAGCCGCGGUAAUACGGAGGGUGCGAGCGUUAAUCGGAAUUACUGGGCGUAAAGCGCGCGUAGGCGGUCUGAUAAGCCGGUUGUGAAAGCCCCGGGCUCAACCUGGGAACGGCAUUCGGAACUGGCAGGCUAGAGUGCAGGAGAGGAAGGUAGAAUUCCCGGUGUAGCGGUGAAAUGCGUAGAGAUCGGGAGGAAUACCAGUGGCGAAGGCGGCCUUCUGGACUGACACUGACGCUGAGGUGCGAAAGCGUGGGUAGCAAACAGGAUUAGAUACCCCUGUAGUC
rnacentral:rRNA from 1 species